GUGAAAGAUACAAGGCAGAGGGCAACAUGAACUCUGCCCUCGGGGCAUUCAAAAUCUCCUAGGAGAGAACUGCCAUUGCACAAGUAAGCAUAAUACAAGUUAAAAGUGAAUUUGCCAUCAAAUGGGUCUAAAUAAAGGGCUAUGAGAGAUCAGAGGAAGAAAAGCAGUCCUCUCAGCUUUGGUCAGGUUUGGUCCACAAACAAAUCAAAUUCUUAUUAAUUAGGUUCUUGUUCUGUCUCCUACUGUCACUGACAAACUAAAUUGCUUCAAAAAUAAUCCUCUCCCAUGGGAGAUCUUACAGACAGACCCUAAUUGCCCCACCAAACUGCUUAGAAUUGAGCUCUGAAAAGAACUACAAAAGAGGUCAAAGGGGGCAAACAAGAGAUUUUAAAAUAUUUGGUUUUAAAGGAUAUGAGUAGUAGGAUACCAAAGCCUGAGGGUGCACAGCUGAGGUCAAUUGGUAUUAAUUGCUAACACCUAGAGGUAAUUAGCAAUAAUUACCCAAAGGAGGGAAGGGAGCAGCCAGAAGGACUUAAAGGCAGUAUUUCCAGGAACUCCUACCACACUGGGAACCUAAUAGUUUCUCAGUAAGAGGAAAUAAAUGUUUUCCACAGCAAUUUGUUUAGUUUUUAAAUUGCACUACAAAGAAACGCCUGAGGGAAGCUUAUGUAUAUACUAUUAAAACUUGUAGGUCCUCCUAUCCAGAGGUGAAGAUUUUUGCCCAUCCAUUGAGUCUGAGCUGGUCUUAUGAUUUGCUGUAACUAGAAGAGUGCAGGGAAAGUGAAAUUUACAUUACUUCUGUUGCUGGGUCUUAAAAGACCUUGCAGCCUCCACUUAGACCUUUUAGGAAUGCUGUGCUGAGAUCAUCUUGUGAGGAAGCUGGUCUAGCCUACUGGAGGAUGAGCAAAGUUGCAUAGAAGAUCCCGGCAUCCAGACGGAUGGCACCAACUCCAGAUGCAUGUCACACCAUCCCUGCAUCUCUGGAAUGAAUCCCACCUGAUCAAGGGUAAUGAAGGCUUCAUAGAAGGAGUUAGGAAGACUCCCCUCCUCUUCAAUUUUUUGGAAGACUUUGAGAAGGAGAACCUCUUUGUGAGAAGGCUGGUCCAUACCAAGGUUCUAAUCUGCAAUUAUCUAGAAGAACAAAGCCUGUCCAGAAGAUAUUGAACUUACAACAGUUGUCUACAAUCAUAUUUUUCUAAAUGAAGAUUUGCCAACUUUCAGCAAACAGAAGUAGGAUGAGCAGGAAGAUACACACGAAGGAAAUUUAUGUGGACCAGUUCUGUAGUAGUGCUUGUCCCUCUCGCGACAUUCAUAUUAGCACAUUUAACUGUUAAGGAGGCUGGGAAAAGUCAUCUAGCUGUGCGCUCAGGAGGAAGAGAAAAUGGUUUGGAAGAACAGCACUAGGAGCCUGCUAUGGUGCCUUCAACAAAUGGGAGUUUGUUUUUCUUCUGUUCAAGACGUCUCAAGAGAAAACUGAAGAAAAAAACCCGAACAAACCUGAAAGAAGACCAUAGAAAAGGAGUCACCCAAAAGAGUGAAAAAAUAUAUUUAGUAAAGGACUCAAAACUUUUAGAAGGGAGGGCCAGGCACGUGAGAGGUACACGCUAUGUGCCACUGCUUCUGACGCUGCCAUGGUUAACACGACGGGGUCAAAGCCACUUCACAGUUUUGCUUCAGAAGCCACAAAAGACUUCCUGUGAUGUCAGGCAGCCUGCAGUAACCCAAAUGGUCGCCCCAAAAGGCACAUCCCUGACAAAGAGUCUUUGACAGACUUAGUUACUUUCAGUGCCAGUCACUGCCUUGCUGGAAGUCUGUCUGGAUGUCCCUUCUGCAAAGCAACUAAGUCCCUCCAGCAUCAAAGUGAGAAUAAAAAUAUCUUGACAAGCUCAUCUCUCUUUUUGAAUCCCUUGGACACUUGGGCACUGGUGUGCUCUGAAUCCAGGAUCGUGCUGGGAGAGCAGUAAGCUGAUGGCUGUGGAAUGUGCCCUUGGAAAUGGAAUGGCCUGGAGGUGGGGAAUUUCAGCCAGGUGCUGGCACCAAAGGAGAUUUAAGCAAAUUCUUCUCAGAUUUGUGCAUAGAGAUAUGAUUUUCUUAAAAUUAAAAACUCAUAAUGUGAAAAUUCUCAUUAGAAAACAGAAAAACAUUUUGACUUAGCUUGUCAGGGAACAUACAACUUAUUUCAGGUUAUUAUUUUCUUUUUGAAGACUUAUAUUUUAAAAAUGUAACAAAAACAAAAUUAAGACUAAUUUUACCACUUGCUGAAUGGGAAAGUGAGACUUGUUUUGAGAAUGGACCUAGCUAGGGGAGUCUUAUGUUUUUUUUGCUUUCACAGCCCUGGCUCUACAAACGAUUCCAGAACAAUACAUAUAUUAAAAACUUUGUUCUGCUUCAUAAAAACUGGCUUUCUCUGUUAAACUUUGUGUUUUUGGGGUGCCCUCUGUAUCCUUCAUGGAUAUAAUUUCUGAUUCUUU
rnacentral:lncRNA from 1 species